AUUGAACGCUGGCGGCAGGCCUAACACAUGCAAGUCGAGCGGAAACGAAGGGAGCUUGCUCCCAGGCGUCGAGCGGCGGACGGGUGAGUAACACGUGAGAAUCUGCCCAUUAGUGGGGGACAACUCGGGGAAACUCGAGCUAAUACCGCAUAAUCCCUACGGGGGAAAGCAGGGGACCUUUUGGCCUUGCGCUGAUGGAUGAGCCCACGUCGGAUUAGCUUGUUGGUGAGGUAAAGGCUCACCAAGGCGACGAUCCGUAGCUGGUCUGAGAGGAUGAUCAGCCACACUGGGACUGAGACACGGCCCAGACUCCUACGGGAGGCAGCAGUGGGGAAUCUUGGACAAUGGGGGCAACCCUGAUCCAGCCAUGCCGCGUGUGUGAAGAAGGCCUUCGGGUUGUAAAGCACUUUCAGCAGGGAGGAAGGCUUUGGCCGAAUAGGUUGAAGUACUUGACGUUACCUGCAGAAGAAGCACCGGCUAAUUUCGUGCCAGCAGCCGCGGUAA
rnacentral:rRNA from 1 species